UAAUACAUAGGGUGCAAGCGUUGUCCGGAAUUAUUGGGCGUAAAGAGCUCGUAGGUCGUUUGUUACGUCGGAUGUGAAAACCUGAGGCUCAACCUCAGGCCUGCAUUCGAUACGGGCAAACUAGAGUUUGGUAGGGGAGACUGGAAUUCCUGGUGUAGCGGUGGAAUGCGCAGAUAUCAGGAGGAACACCAAUGGCGAAGGCAGGUCUCUGGGCCAAUACUGACACUGAGGAGCGAAAGUCUGGGGAGCGAACAGGAUUAGAUACCCUGGUAGUCCAGACCGUAAACGGUGGGCACUAGUUGUGGGAACCUUCCACGGUUUCUGCGACGCAGCUAACGCAUUAAGUGCCCCGCCUGGGGAGUACGAUCGCAAGAUUAAAACUCAAAGGAAUUGACGGGGGCCCGCACAAGCGGUGGAGUAUGUGGUUUAAUUCGAUGCAACGCGAAGAACCUUACCAGGGUUUGACAUCCUGCGAAUCCCUUGGAAACGAGGGAGUGCCUUCGGGAGCGCAGUGACA
rnacentral:rRNA from 1 species